rnacentral:rRNA from 1 species
UACGGAGGGUGCAAGCGUUAUCCGGAUUUACUGGGUUUAAAGGGUGUGUAGGCGGAUUUUUAAGUCAGAGGUGAAAUCUCCAGGCUCAACCUGGAAACUGCCCCUGAUACUAUUAGUCUUGAAUAUUGAUGAGGUGGGCGGAACGGGUCAUGUAGCGGUGAAAUGCUUAGAGAUGACCCGGAACACCAAUUGCGAAGGCAGCUGUCUAAACAUGGAUUGACACUGAUGCACGAAAGCGUGGGGAUCAAACAGG